rnacentral:rRNA from 1 species
CAGUAGGGAGGAAGGUAGUGUAGUUAACACCUGCAUUAUUUGACGUUACCUACAGAAGAAAGCACCGGCUAACUCCGUGCCAGCAGCCGCGGUAAUACGGAGGGUGCGAGCGUUAAUCGGAAUUACUGGGCGUAAAGCGCAUGCAGGCGGCCUGUUAAGUCAGAUGUGAAAGCCCGGGGCGUUAACCUCGGAAUUGCAUUUGAAACUGGCAGGCUAGAGUCUUGUAGAGGGGGGUAGGAAUUUCAGGUGUAGCGGUGAAAUGCGUAGAGAUCUGAAGGAAUACCAGUGGCGAAGGCGGCCCCCUGGACAAAGACUGACGCUCAGAUGCGAAAGCGUGGGGAGCAAACAGGAUUAGAUACCCUGGUAG